rfam:Asian citrus Psyllid, Diaphorina citri - Florida Strain, whole genome shotgun sequence.
GCCUAGUUAGCUUAGUUGGUAGUGCGUCUGCCUUGUAAGCGCUAGGCCGCGGGUUCGAUUCCCGCCCGUGGCG